rnacentral:lncRNA from 1 species
AGUAUUUAAGGACAUUUGGAUCCUUGGUUAUCCAACAAUGAAUAUAGAUCUGCUUGAAUCGUUCGGGCAGAACUACCCAGAGGUAAGACACCAGCUCUUAGCACAAUACAUGAGCGUGUUAGAAGCCCGG